rnacentral:lncRNA from 1 species
GAAUCCAUUUGAUGGAUUCCAAAAGCUUUUACAUGUCAUUGGUUUCAUAAUAGCACAGUUAGUGACUGUGGAUUAAAUAGUAUCAGUUAAAAAAACAUAGCUUUAUUUUUGUUCUUUUGUUUAAAAAUUAGCUUAGCUCAGCCUUUUCUAACUAGUCUUGUCCUUAAAUGAUGAAAACUUUUUAUUUAUUUCAAAUUUCUGUGGUGUGUGUGUGUGUGUGUUUGUGUGUGUGUCUGUGUGUGUGUCUGUGUGUGUGUAUCUGUGUGUGUCUGUGUGUGUGUAUCUGUGUGUGUCUGUGUGUGUGUCUGUGUGUGUGUGUGUCUGUGUGUGUGUCUGUGUGUGUCUGUGUAUGUGUGUGUGUGUAGUUGUGCACAUGAUUACAGGUGCCUUUCAAAAGCAGAGGUGGUAUU